UAAUACGAGGGGGGCAAGCGUUGUCCGGAUUCAUUGGGCGUAAAGAGCUCGUAGGCGGAUUAAUUAGUCUGAAUUGAAAUCCAAUGGCUUAACCAUUGCAACGGUUCAGAUACUGUUAAUCUUGAGUUAUGUAGAGGUAAGCGGAAUUUCUGGUGUAACGGUGAAAUGCGUAGAUAUCAGAAGGAACACCAAAGGCGAAGGCAGCUUACUGGACAUUGACUGACGCUGAGGAGCGAAAGCGUGGGUAGCAAACAGGAUUAGAGACCCUGGUAGUCCACGCCGUAAACGAUGUGUACUUGGUGGUGGAAGAUUCGACCCUUUCACUGUCGGAGUUAACGCGUUAAGUACACCGCCUGGGGACUACGACCGCAAGGUUG
rnacentral:rRNA from 1 species